rnacentral:misc_RNA from 1 species
AGCAGAGAAUUCACAGUACAGGGCCAACGGAAGGACCUAAACACAAUUUUUCUCAAACUGCGAAUAACUGACUCUACAGGUCAUAUUAGGAAUAUUCAUUCCCCUUUGAUAUUGAAGUUGAUACAGCAAAUGCUGUUGCUAGUGAAAUGGUUGAAGAGUUGGACCUGACAGAUCAAGACGUCUCUGCUAUUGCUGAUAUGAUUGAUUCAGAAAUCCGGUCAUAUAUCCCAGAUUGGGCACCAAGAGAAAACUCUAGCAAUCACAUCACCAAUGAAGUUGCUUCUGAUAACUUUACUUCUGGAGUCGGAGAUGAUGCUCCUCCCUUUACAAUUGAUCCUGCUUAUUCGGGUAGUCUUGUGUUGGAAAGACUUCCUUCAGGUCGAAAGUACUGGUCUGUUUCACCGAAAACAACCAGUAAUGGCAGCUCUCCACGCAGACAGGGGCCUUCAUACACGUCGCUGACCGAUUCACCAACUCAUGAAGACAGUUGGACGGAAGAAUUUGAAGAAUCACCUGUUAUCCUGAGAGAGGGAGGGAGUUCACAUGUUGCUGCCUUACUCGGACACGAAGAUUAUAAAUCUGAGACUCACGUGGAUGAUGAUGCCAGUGUUCACCGUGAUUUUGACUUUGGUGACAAUGCUCAUUCUGCGGAUUUUAGUUAUGCAAGCAGGCCUCAUUCAUCAGAGGAAAGAAAUAACAUGAUCAGCAACAACUACUCAGCUGAUAUCAGACA